GCGUGAUUUUCAGGUUAGAUCAGGGAUUCUUGAAGAGAAAAUGCAUCAUUGUCGGGUUACAUGGGGGAUUUCCAAAGAGAAAUAGCCUUUUUUUUCUGGGUACAUGGGGGAUUUUUGAAGAGAAAAUGCGUGAUUUUCAGAUUAAAUGGGGAUUCUUGAAGGGAAAAUGUGUGAUUUUCGGGGUAAAUGGGGGAUUCUCGAAGAGAAAAUGGGUGAUUUUCGGGUUUAAACUGCUAUUUUUGUAGAGAAUACGCAUGAUUUUUGGUUUAAAAGAGGGAUUCUCAAAGAGAAAAUGCAUUAUUUUUGUUUAAAUGGGGUAUUUUUGAAGGGAAAAUGCGUGAUUUUUGGGUUAAAUGGGGGAUUUUUGAAGAGAAAAUGCGUGAUUUUCACGUUAAAUGGGGGAUUUUCCAAGAGAAAAUGUGUAAUUUCCAGGUUAAAUGAGGGAUUUUGGAAGAGAAAAUGUGUGAGUUUUGGUUGAAUUGGGGGUUUUCGAAGCCAAAAUGCGUGAUUUUCACUUAAAUGGGGGAUUUUCCAAACGAAAAUGCAUGAUUUUCUUUUUAGAUGGGGGAUUUUCAUAGAGAAAAGGCAUGAUUUUUGUGUUAAGUGGGGGAUAUUUGCAAAAAAAACAAGGCGUGAUUUUUGGGUUAAAUGGGGGAUUUUUGAAGAGAAAAUGUGUGAUUUUCAGUUAAAU
ensembl:lncRNA